rnacentral:lncRNA from 1 species
AAGAUUUAUACACAAUUUGCUACUGAAAAUUUGAUUUGAAGUUGUAAUGAUUAGGUUAUAAAGGUAGUAACUGUGACUGUACUUGCUUUUCAAAAAACCCAGCUGCUAAUUAAUAAUCACCUUCUCUGAAAUUUUAUCCUAGGGCUUCAUUCUAACCUAUCGAUUUUUAUCGUCAAUGAAAUGUAAGUGCCAUCCGACACCGUAUUCCACCGGAGCUGAUCAGGAUUUUAUUUCACCUUGAAAAACUGCACAUAGUGGAGAGUUUCUUCACUUUAUUCCUGCAGUCUUAACAUACCCUACUGAGUAAAGGUAAAUUGCUUUUUAUUCUGUAUUCUGUUAUAUUUUUGAAAAAUGGUUUUCAAAUCACAGAUUUGAUUCCUCUCUUGGUACUGAAAGA